GUGCCUCUCUCAGUACCACGGUUCAUGACGAAUCAGUGCCACUGUUGUGUUUGCUAAUUUUGAACCGAACCAAUGGUUUGGUACAACUUCUAUUGUUUCAUUUAUAGGAUAUCAGUUUUCAAAUCAUAAGAAUAUUUCCUUACCUUUGUUUUUCAUAUAUGCAGGUUGGUGAUUUUUAAGUUGAUGGGUUUCUGCUACAAAUUAACUGAAGUAAUUCCUAUGUGUCUUGGUACUAUGGUGUUGGCCACUGAACUUUCAUGCAAAUGAGGCACAAAAUAGCUCACAUCUAUGCAGAGUAUUGGAGAUCCAGGCCCUUUGUUUUCGUUUGGAGGGACAUAUUCAACAUGCCAUGCAUCACCAAAUAUUGCCCUGAGGGUUACCGGCAAGCAAUACCAGUCUAGAUGAUAGGCCAACCGUAUGCUUCAUGAGGAAAUUGUGAACCAAUGGCGCAAUAGUAAAUAUUAGCAUGUUGUAUCUCUCUUGAAGACAAUAUUUGGUGAGCUUGUUCCUCCAGUGAGCUUGUUCAUCCUUGUGGACAAUUGGACAUGGCAUAUCUUAAAUGACUUGUACAUCAGGAGAAGGCAAAGAGAUAUGCCAUGUCCAUAUGGCCACAAGGAUGGCCAUGUGAGAGUCUCUUCUUUUCCUCCAGUGAGCUUGUUCAUCCUUGUGGACAAUUGGACAUGACAUAUCUCUUUGCCUUCUCCUGAUGUACAAGUCAUUUAAGAUUAUAAUUGUUUUGUACUCAUGUUACAUCAUAUGAGAUUAAGGAUAUAACAAUGUGCUUUUCUUCUGCUGGCAUAUUUAUGCUUCUAGAUGCAUUGAUUUAACCAAAGGAGUCUUGUGUUUUUUAUCCAGUUUUUCAUCAGUUCGUUUGCAAAUUUUUUGACUGCUACUACGAAUUAUCUUUUCAAUACACGUGAAUUUUCACGUGCAAGCUUACUAAUACUAUUUGGCGCAUAUUGGUGCUAGUUCAGCGUUUUCUAAAAAUAAAGGAAAAACAUAGUUCAGUGAUGACCUAUUCGACUUGCAUAGGCUGGAGUGCAUAGCCGAGAUCAACCGAUCAUGAUCGGAUUUGCCUGAUCGGCUGUUCUUCUCCACCCCUCAACUUGAUGAUGAAGCCUCGCGGAUUUGAGAGUUCACGGUUCUGAAAAAGUUGAAAAGGUUUGUGAAUUUGUAAAAAGUUCACGAG
rnacentral:lncRNA from 1 species